UAGUUGAUGAAAACUUCCGCAGUGGGAAGCUUCUAGUGCAGUGAAACAAUGGAGUUUAGAGUAUUUCUUCUAUUUUCUUUGUACCACAUAUCGGUAGCGUUCGAAAGUGGCUCGUACGCCAGGGAGCUUUCCGAAGUAAAAUUGUACUUCUAUGCAGCGGAUUUAUCCAAGGAGAUUGAUAUCUCGACCGCGGAGCAGCUGCCACAGUACGAUGCGGAAAAAUCGCUGAAGGUUUUGAUUCACGGUUGGAAUGCGGAUCGUAAUCAAAUAGCAAUGGUUCCAGUGCGAAAUGCGUACUUGGUUCAAAACAGACACAACCUGCUGGUAGCUGAUUGGGCUAAUGUUUCCGGUCUUGCUUACCGAUAUGCUCGUGAGAUGGUGCGGCCUGUCGGUUAUCGGAUUGGAGCGAUUUUGGGCGAAUUCAUACAUCGGAAGGGGAUCACUUAUGACCAGAUGCACGUUGUUGGACACAGUUUAGGAGCGCAUAUUGCAGGCAAUGUGGGAAAAUAUUUUGGCGGGAAACUGGCAAGAGUAACGGCACUCGAUCCGGCCGGUCCUUUGUUCGUUCGUCGCUCUGUAGACGCUGUCAGCAGUUCGGAUGCCCAAUUUGUUGAUGCCAUUCAUACAGACGGGCUGGUGCUGGGCGAAAUCGUUGUCCGAAGUCAUGCUGACUUUUACCCAAAUCGAGGAAUUCCUAGCCAACCUGGCUGUGAUGUGUUGGAUGUCGUUACAUUACAUGCCUGCAGCCACUACCGGUCGACGGGCUUUUUUGCCGAAUCGAUUCUGCUCCCGAACAACUUUUUUGCCUGCAAAUGUGACCUAAAGGAUAUUCUCGAUAAUCCUGCUACGGAUUGCGUCUGUGAAACAAGGCAGAACAACUUGAGAAACGUUGCUGCGAUGGGUGAACACGUGGAUACACGCGUCCGGGGAACUUUCUAUCUGGAAACUUCUAAUGUACCGCCUUAUGGUCUAGGAAACAGUAUAUUUCGUCAGAACGAACAUUAACGGGAAAAUCUUCUUCUAUAGCCCUGGAAAAGGUUGCAUCAACCCAUCGAACCAAAUAAACAAAUGUAUUGAAAUAGUUCGGUAAACUCACCUAAUGAUCUCUAUUAUAUUAAAACCUCAUAUUGAUUUAACUCGCCGCUCAGAACAGCUCUGAAUUAGACCCGCUGGUGCCCUAAGACGAUUUCGCUAGAUUUUCAUGGCACUGUGCACCCA